rnacentral:rRNA from 1 species
UUUAGAACGUCGUGAGACAGUUCGGUCCCUAUCUGCCGUGGGCGCUGGAGAAUUGAGGGGGGCUGCUCCUAGUACGAGAGGACCGGAGUGGACGCAUCACUGGUGUUCGGGUUGUCAUGCCAAUGGCACUGCCCGGUAGCUAAAUGCGGAAGAGAUAAGUGCUGAAAGCAUCUAAGCACGAAACUUGCCCCGAGAUGAGUUCUCCCUGAGACUUUAAGUCUCCUGAAGGAACGUUAAAGACGAUGACGUUGAUAGGCGGGUGUGUAAGCGCAGCGAUGCGUUGAGCUAACCGGUACUAAUGAACCGUGAGGCUUAACCUUACAACGCCGAAG